rnacentral:lncRNA from 1 species
AUAUGACCUCAAAUAACAGGGGUCAGGUCGGCAGUGAGACGAUGGGAUAAGCUUCAUCGUUCGAGAGGGAAAAGCCCGGAUCCCAGCUAAGGCCCUAAAUGACCGCUCAUGAUAAAGAUGGGUAGGGGUGCAGAGACAGCCAGGAGGUUGCCUAGAAGCAGCCACCCUUGAGAAGGUGCGUAUAGCUCACUGAUCGACGCUCUGCGCCGAAUGAACGGGCUAACGAUCUGCCGAAGCUUGGGAUGUAAAAACUUGGAGGGGAGCGUUCCGCCUUAUAGUA